GACAGAGGGUGCCAAGCGUUUAGGCGGAAUCACGUGGGCUUAAAGCGUGUGUAGGCGGAUGCCUAAGUACCUUGUGAAAUCCCACGGCUCAACCGUCGGAACUGCUUGGUAUACUGGGUGUCUUGAGCCACUUAGGGGUUACCGGAACAAACGGUGGAGCGGUGAAAUGCGGUAGAUAUCGUUUGGAACGCCAAUGGUGAAAACAGGUAACUGGG
rnacentral:rRNA from 1 species